rnacentral:rRNA from 1 species
UGCAAGUCGAACGGGCUCUUCGGAGCUAGUGGCGGACGGGUGAGUAACGCGUGAGGAUCUGCCUUCAGGAGGGGGAUAACGACUGGAAACGGUCGCUAAUACCGCAUAUGCCUACGGGUGAAAGAUUAUCGCCUGGAGAUGAACUCGCGUCAGAUUAGCUAGUUGGUGGGGUAAGAGCCUACCAAGGCGACGAUCUGUAGCUGGUCUGAGAGGAUGAUCAGCCACACUGGGACUGAGACACGGCCCAGACUCCUACGGGAGGCAGCAGUGGGGAAUUUUCCGCAAUGGGCGCAAGCCUGACGGAGCAAGACCGCGUGCGGGAUGACGGCCUAAUGGUUGUAAACCGCUUUUCUCUGGGAAGAUGAUGACGGUACCAGAGGAAUCAGCCUCGGCUAACUCCGUGCCAGCAGCCGCGGUAAUACGGAGGAGGCAAGCGUUAUCCGGAAUUAUUGGGCGUAAAGCGUCCGUAGGUGGUUAUUCAAGUCUGCUGUCAAAGCGUGGGGCUUAACUCCAUAGAGGCAGUGGAAACUGGAUGACUUGAGUGCGGUAGGGGUCGAGGGAAUUCCCAGUGUAGCGGUGAAAUGCGUAGAUAUUGGGAAGAACACCAGUGGCGAAAGCGCUCGACUGGGCCUGCACUGACACUGAGGGACGAAAGCUAGGGGAGCGAAAGGGAUUAGAUACCCCUGUAGUCCUAGCCGUAAACGGUGGAUACUAAGGUGUUGCUCGUCAUCGACCCGAGCAGUUGCGUAGCCGACGCGUUAAGUAUCCCGCCUGGGGAGUACGCU